GAUGAACGCUGGCGGCGUGCCUAAUACAUGCAAGUCGAGCGAACAGACGAGGAGCUUGCUCCUCUGACGUUAGCGGCGGACGGGUGAGUAACACGUGGAUAACCUACCUAUAAGACUGGGAUAACUUCGGGAAACCGGAGCUAAUACCGGAUAAUAUAUUGAACCGCAUGGUUCAAUAGUGAAAGACGGUUUUGCUGUCACUUAUAGAUGGAUCCGCGCCGCAUUAGCUAGUUGGUAAGGUAACGGCUUACCAAGGCAACGAUGCGUAGCCGACCUGAGAGGGUGAUAGGCCACACUGGAACUGAGACACGGUCCAGAGUACUACGGGAGGCAGCAGUAGGGAAUCUGCCGCAAUGGGCGAAAGCCUGACGGAGCAACGCGGCGUGAGUGAUGAAGGUCUUCGGAUCGUAAAACUCUGUUAUUAGGGAAGAACAAAUGUGUAAGUAACUAUGCACGUCUUGACGGUACCUAAUCAGAAAGCCACGGCUAACUACGUG
rnacentral:rRNA from 1 species